GACGUAGGUGGCGAACGUUAUCCGGAAUUAUUGGGCGUAAGGCGCGUGUAGGCGGCUUGGCAAGUCAGAUGUGAAAGCCCUCGGCUUAACCGAGGAAGUGCGUCUGAAACUGCUGAGCUUGAGUCUCGGAGAGGAUGGCGGAAUUCCGCAAGUAGAGGUGAAAUUCGUAGAUAUGCGGAGGAACACCGGUGGCGAAGGCGGCCAUCUGGACGAGUACUGACGCUGAGACGCGAAAGCGUGGGGAGCAAACAGG
rnacentral:rRNA from 1 species